rnacentral:SRP_RNA from 1 species
GCAGGGUGCGGUGGGGUGUGCCUGUAGUCCCAGCUACUUGGGAGGCUGAGGCUGGAGGAUCUCUUGAGUCUAGGAGUUCUGAGCUAUUGUGUGCUAUGCCGAUUGGGUGUCCACACUAAAUUUGGCAUCAAUAUGGUGACCUCCCGGGAGCUGGGGACCACCAAGUUGCCUAAGGAGGGGUGAACCAGCCCAGGUCAGAAACGGAGCAGGUCAAAACCCCCGUGCUGAUCAGUAAGGGGAUUGUGCCUGUGAAUAGCCACUACACUCCAGCCUGGGCAACAUAGCGAGACCCUGUCUCU